rnacentral:rRNA from 1 species
GGGAACCUGCCCCAUAGUCUGGGAUACCACUUGGAAACAGGUGCUAAUACCGGAUAAGAAAGCAGAUCGCAUGAUCAGCUUAUAAAAGGCGGCGUAAGCUGUCGCUAUGGGAUGGCCCCGCGGUGCAUUAGCUAGUUGGUAGGGUAACGGCCUACCAAGGCAAUGAUGCAUAGCCGAGUUGAGAGACUGAUCGGCCACAUUGGGACUGAGACACGGCCCAAACUCCUACGGGAGGCAGCAGUAGGGAAUCUUCCACAAUGGACGAAAGUCUGAUGGAGCAACGCCGCGUGAGUGAAGAAGGUUUUCGGAUCGUAAAGCUCUGUUGGUUUUGGUGAAGAAGGUUGUUAGAGGUAGUAACUGGCCUUUUAGUGCUUUUGACGGUAAUCAACCAGAAAGUCACGGCUAACUACGUGCCAGCAGCCGCGGUAAUACGUAGGUGGCAAGCGUUGUCCGGAUUUAUUGGGCGUAAAGCGAGCGCAGGAGGAAGAAUAAGUCUGAUGUGAAAGCCCUCGGCUUAACCGAGGAACUGCAUCGGAAACUGUUUUUCUUGAGUGCAGAAGAGGAGAGUGGAACUCCAUGUGUAGCGGUGGAAUGCGUAGAUAUAUGGAAGAACACCAGUGGCGAAGGCGGCUCUCUGGUCUGCAACUGACGCUGAGGCUCGUAAGCAUGGGUAGCGAACAGGAUUAGAUACCCUGGUAGUCCAUGCCGUAAACGAUGAGUGCUAAGUGUUGGGAGGUUUCCGCCUCUCAGUGCUGCAGCUAACGCAUUAAGCACUCCGCCUGGGGAGUACGACCGCAAGGUUGAAACUCAAAGGAAUUGACGGGGGCCCGCACAAGCGGUGGAGCAUGUGGUUUAAUUCGAAGCAACGCGAAGAACCUUACCAGGUCUUGACAUCUAGUGCAAUCCGUAGAGAUACGGAGUUCCCUUCGGGGACACUAAGACAGCGUGGUGCAUGGCUGUCGUCAGCUCGUGUCGUGAGAUGUUGGGUUAAGUCCCGCAACGAGCGCAACCCUUGUCAUUAGUUGCCAGCAUUAAGUUGGGCACUCUAAUGAGACUGCCGGUGACAAACCGGAGGAAGGUGGGGAUGACGUCAAGUCAUCAUGCCCCUUAUGACCUGGGCUACACACGUGCUACAAUGGGCAGUACAACGAGGAGCAAGCCUGCGAAGGCAAGCGAAUCUCUUAAAGCUGUUCUCAGUUCGGACUGCAGUCUGCAACUCGACUGCACGAAGCUGGAAUCGCUAGUAAUCGCGGAUCAGCACGCCGCGGUGAAUACGUUCC